UACGAAGGGGGCUAGCGUUGCUCGGAAUCACUGGGCGUAAAGCGCACGUAGGCGGACUCUUAAGUCGGUGGUGAAAUCUCCACGCUCAACGUGGAGGGGCCAUCCGAUACUGCCGUGACUCGAGUCCGGCAGGGGAGUGUGGAAUUCCCGGUGUAGCGGUGAAAUGCGCAGAGAUCGGGAGGAACACCCGUAGCGAAGGCGGCACUCUGGGCCGGUACUGACGCUGAGGAGCGAAAGCGUGGGGAGCGAACAGG
rnacentral:rRNA from 1 species